GCUCAGGAUGAACGCUGGCGGCGUGCCUAAUACAUGCAAGUCGAGCGAACGGAUAAGGAGCUUGCUCCUUUGAAGUUAGCGGCGGACGGGUGAGUAACACGUGGGUAACCUACCUAUAAGACUGGAAUAACUUCGGGAAACCGGAGCUAAUGCCGGAUAACAUAUAGAACCGCAUGGUUCUAUAGUGAAAGAUGGUUUUGCUAUCACUUAUAGAUGGACCCGCGCCGUAUUAGCUAGUUGGUAAGGUAAAGGCUUACCAAGGCGACGAUACGUAGCCGACCUGAGAGGGUGAUCGGCCACACUGGAACUGAGACACGGUCCAGACUCCUACGGGAGGCAGCAGUAGGGAAUCUUCCGCAAUGGGCGAAAGCCUGACGGAGCAACGCCGCGUGAGUGAUGAAGGUUUUCGGAUCGUAAAACUCUGUUAUUAGGGAAGAACAAAUGCGUAAGUAACUGUGCGCAUCUUGACGGUACCUAAUCAGAAAGCCACGGCUAACUACGUGCCAGCAGCCGCGGUAAUACGUAGG
rnacentral:rRNA from 1 species